rfam:Myotis lucifugus cont2.368, whole genome shotgun sequence.
GGCUGUUCUUGAGGUGACACAUCCAGAAUGAGGCUCCUUCCUCUCUGGUUCCAAGUGCGUCACCUGAGAACCGCA